CAUGCCGGUGAAGUUGUAGAGCCGGUCGGAGAAGGAGAAGCAGUGCGACGUCCCGAUGGUGUGCCCGGCGGACAAGACGACAAGGUCCUUUGCGUCGAGGUUCACGGCGGCGAAGAGCUGGGUGAGCACGGUGAAGUUGGAGGUCGGGGGUGGCAGAGCGUCGGUCGCGUUGGAAAGGGACACGCUGCCGUCUCGCCGGCCCAGAGGAACUGUCCAGAAUGGACCCUUGCUCUGGAGAAACCAUGAUCGAGCAGCAUUAGAAUUUGGCUUCCACACGUACCGUGUCAUUUGAAAAAUGGCAUAGUAGGAGUACUCUACUCACCAGCCAUACUGCGUCCCUGGCAAUGAGGGCGAGGAUGUCGGCGCAGGAGACGGUGUCGGGGCAGGCCUUCUCCACCGCGGCCUUCACCCUCUCGACAAACCCGAAGCCUCGCAGCGUCUGGUUCGGCUGCGCGUCCUUCUCCGCCGUCUUGUUGGCCGAGUCCAGCAGAACCGAGCCGUCGCACCCCUGCAUUAAUUAAUGGCGGUCACUGGUCAGGCCGCCGCACACAAUAGGGUACGGGCAGGACAGACAACAUGCAUGCAAAUGUAGCUUACCCUGACGAAGCAGUCGUGGAAGUGCAUCCGGAGGAGCGGCCCGGCGAGGCUAGGCGCUAGUGACAGAGCCCUCACCAUCUCCUUCCUCACGACGUCCUCCACGCUGGGGCACGACUCGCUGUAGAACUUGUCGUGCAGCUGCGCCCGCCCGCACGUCGCCGCCACCGCCGCGAGCAGCAGCGCAACCAUCGUCGCAGCCCUGGACGCCAUCUUCUCGGCCAAGAAGCUUGUUUCUUUCUUGGCUAUGCAAGAAACGACGAUGGCUAGUUGAUCCGGAGAAGCUUGAGCUGCUGCUGCUGCUGAUGAACUGGCGCCGGGGAAAUAUAUAGCGCCGGAGUGUCCACACGCCUGCAUGUGGUGGGCUGUCCUCCGGAGCAGCAGGUAAAAUUCCCAUGGUUUAAUGAGUUGUUCCUUGUUUGCACUCUGCGGAAUCUUUGCCGUGGCAGGUACACCGACGGCGCACGGUAUGUAUAAUGGAGGCGGCCGGACAGCCAGACGGAAGCACAUCAUUAGAUGAAUUCACUAAUUUUCUUUAGACAGCAAUCUACUCACUAACUUACUAAUUAGUUAUGAGUUAUCACGGAGAAAACUGCGGUGCCAAGUUGUAAUCAACAAAGGCUACUGGCAAUGAGUGAAUGCCACCUACUGGUAGUUUGCAAGCGUGCGAAUUUCAUGAUGCAUAUAUUUGUACCGGUGCCACAUGCUAUCCUGAAAAUANNNNNNNNNNNNNNNNNNNNNNNNNNNNNNNNNNNNNNNNNNNNNNNNNNNNNNNNNNNNNNNNNNNNNNNNNNNNNNNNNNNNNNNNNNNNNNNNNNNNNNNNNNNNNNNNNNNNNNNNNNNNNNNNNNNNNNNNNNNNNNNNNNNNNNNNNNNNNNNNNNNNNNNNNNNNNNNNNNNNNNNNNNNNNNNNNNNNNNNNNNNNNNNNNNNNNNNNNNNNNNNNNNNNNNNNNNNNNNNNNNNNNNNNNNNNNNNNNNNNNNNNNNNNNNNNNNNNNNNNNNNNNNNNNNNNNNNNNNNNNNNNNNNNNNNNNNNNNNNNNNNNNNNNNNNNNNNNNNNNNNNNNNNNNNNNNNNNNNNNNNNNNNNNNNNNNNNNNNNNNNNNNNNNNNNNNNNNNNNNNNNNNNNNNNNNNNNNNNNNNNNNNNNNNNNNNNNUAAACUAAGCGUGAGUGUAGAAUAGCUUAUUCUACACCCCAGUAACGGUACAUACAAAAUAUAGUAACACAUUAUGUAAAAUAUAGUAAUUUUCGUAAAAAUGUAGUAAAUUAUAAACUUGGGUGAUAAAAAAAAUAUUUUCCAGGCAAUAUACGUACUUACACAAACACUAAUUAGAGGUACCUCGCAAAAUUACCCUGAGACCACUAGGGGCUUGUUUGGUUGUCAUCUACGAAUUUGUCUGCGUUGCACACAUGUCUUAGUUGGGCCUGGCUAUGAGAAAACAGGCAAACGAAAUCUGCAUCUGCACCUCAUUUGGUCGCCCACAUCUAGACUUCCUGCAUUAGGGGAACGGUUUUAGCAUGCUGUUUGGUGUCCUGUAUUGUCUCCACUCAUGCAACUACAUAGUGUUUGAUUGUAUAUAUACACAGGAUAUGAUUAAGAGCUAAUAUCUACGCAUGACAUAACACACAGAGUUACAAUAGAGUUCCUUGGCAGUGUGCCCGUGAUGGUGGCAUUAGUGUAAGCAGAGGGCGAGGAGGCAUAGAGAAAAGACGCCGGCGGCAGUGCCAGGCACAAUAUGGCGUCCAUCCGACAAGGUUGACAACCACAUAUAACACUGGGGACGACAUGACGACAAGGAUGAAAAAUAUGAAGGAGAAAUGCAAUUUGCAUGCCAUGGCCGCGUUAGAGCAACUAUAGCGAACCCCGUAAAAGUCACAAACCCGCAAAAUUAUGGCGAGUAUACGGAUUCGGCCCAAUUUUCUGGCCAGAACAGAGCCCGUAUACUCGACGGCCCGUAAAUAUUUUUACCGCGGCCCGCAACCCUCCCCCCUCCGCCAAGCAAUAUAUCUACGGGUUUGCGGUGCAUAUGCGGGUCGAAACCCUAUCCCCCACUGCCGCGUCUCGCCGCAAUUCCCCACUCCCCUCCUUACAUUUCUCGCCAAUGGUGAGCCCCUUCCACCUCCAAAAGACAUGUGGGGCUGCAUGCGGAGCUUCAGCCACGGCUCUGGGAGUAGCUCCGGCAGGGGCGGCAGCCCCGAGCGCGAGCGGCAUGUCUGCUUGGAUGGCGCGAGGAAGCGCGGGGCGAGGAACUGGACGAACAAGUCUCGAACCGUUGCCGAGCUUCCUCGUUCGUGAGACGGAGGAAUACGACCGUCGGCGCGGGCGUACGCCCUCCUCGGCCGCGGGCUCGUCCUCCGCCGCGAGAUCUUCCCACGCCGCGAUCUCUUCCUCUUCCGGCGCGAGGCUUCUCCUCGUGAAGAGGGAGUGGUCAGAGGAGCCGGUGGAGAUCGAGGUCAUCGCCGUCAAGCAGGAACCGGAGGUGAUCGAGUGACGAGGGGUCAUCGAGCCCAAAGAUUUUGUGGCCGAUUUCGACACGGUGGCGUCCGCCAUUGCCGAGCGGAGCUUAUGCGAGGAGGCGGAGCGCCGGCGCCACGACGACGAGGUCGACGACCUCAUCCUCCAGCAGGCGGUUGCGGCCAACCUUGCCGUGAAGGAGAAGGACGACGAGUGGCGGCGCAUCCGCGAGGAGCAGAGGUCGAAGUUCAUCGAUCUCGUCAACUCCGACGAGGACUGAGCUCCUCCACCGCGUCGUCCUCAGCCGUGAGCUCAUCCAUUUUGGUAUAUCGAUCUCGGCCUCGCCGCCAUGAAUCCCCCCUCCCUCUAGUAGUAGUAAUAGAAUGUAGUAUGUAUGAUAAUGUAGCAUGUGAUGAUGAACUAUGAAUGAUAAUGUAGUAUGUGAUGAAAUAGUGUGGUUGCAAUUUCUCCCACGACAGUAUUAUUCAAAUUAUGCAGUUUCAUAUACGGGUUCUAUUCUGCCACACACGAUUUUGACCCGCAAAACAGUUCUUCAUCGAACUGUAAACGCCUUAUGCGGGUCACGGUUUUACGGGGUCUGCUAGAGUUGCUCUUAGUGCAAGAGGACACAGAGGAGGAGGCCAAAAAGAACAAAGCUAACGACGGCAUCAGUGUAGUAGGACGGGAGCAUGGAGUUAGAGAGGAACAACGCUGGCGAUGGCUUCAGUGUAGCAGAACAUGGGAUAGAAGACAUAGAGGAUCAAUGACCGCUCAAGUGUAGUAGGACGCGGGAGAGGAGGUUGAGAGGAAACGAUGCCGGAGGUGGCGCUAGCGCAACAUCACGCAGCAGAGGAGGCCGAGAGGAACGACACUAACAGUGGCGUCAAUGUAGCAGGACACCUGACUGGAGACCGAGAUUAAGGUCUGUCAUUAACACACAUCGCACAUAUGCAUAUGUAUGUUUUAACAAGGAAGAAUUUACAUCUAGUCUACGAUCAUCGAAACAGAAAAUUUGCAAUACGUAAGUCAUGCGAAACUGCAAGAUGAAGCAACUGGUCAAAGGAAGUUUCAAACGGUCAACCGUGCGCGACAAAUUUAACAAAAUAUGUCCAAAAUAGCUUCAAACAUGAACACGAAAUUGAGCAUUUACGGUUGAAGAAACUACAAACCGGUGACCUGAAUGAAACCAUAACAUUGAUGGUGCAUCUUUUUCAUGUAGAGGUUAUCUCGAAUCGAAGCAUCGUUGUGUAGAUUAGAAGAGAUGACAAAGAAAGAAGAUUAGAGACGAGCUUAAUGGAGGUAGAAGAACAUAGCAGGUAUCCCUCAAGUCUCCUCAGGUGCAACAAGGUCCACCAUGUGCGUUUGAUGUGCCUCAUCUCAGUCUGGCUUGCUAAAAACUGUCGAUUUGACCGUUCCUAGCGGGCCUGACUAGGAGGUGCUUUAAAGUCUGUGCGUUACGGGCCAAACAAUGAAUGUAGAUAAACAAACAUGCCAUUUUCUUCCCACACAGACCUGAUUGACCUAUAUACAGGGUACCAAACACGCCCUAGGUGAUGCCUCUAGGAUUGGAGUUCUAAGUUUCGUAUCAAUGCCAUGUAGCCAACGACCAACCAUGUUUUGACAUUAUGUGACAGGUGCAAAUUAGAAGCUACCAGUAGAAAUGAUUUGGUUUUUAGUGGGAAAACUCUUCUCCUUCAGGUUUUUCUUUCUGUAUACACUCACUUUGUAUGUGAUCUACACUGCAUCAAAUAAAAUACCAACCGAUUUUCAAGACGGCGCAUAUAUAGUUGGAGGGGGUGCCAGGGAGGUUUUUACCCAACGUAGAUGACAACAUAAUCUCCGGAUCGGCCCACCACCUCCUUCGACAUAACACAGUGUCAGUACUAUAUAACUCUACUGUUGCAGAUAGCAUGUGGCACCGGUACAAAUAUAUGCUUCGUGGUCGAUUUCGACGCGGUGGCGUCCGCCAUUGCCGAGUGGAGCUUGCGCGAGGAGGCGGAGCGCCGGCGCCACGACGACGAGGUCAAAGACCUCAUCCUCCAGCAGGCGGUCGCGGCCAAUCUUGCCGUGAAGGAGAAGGACGACAAGUGACGGCGCAUCCGCGAGAAGUAGAGGUCGAAGUUCAUCGAUCUUGUUAGCUCCGACGAGGACUGAGCUCCUCCACCGCGUCGUCCUCAGCCGUGAGCUCAUCCAUUUUGGUAUAUCGAUCUCGGCAUCGCCGCCACGAAUCCCCCAUCCCUCUAGUAGCAGUAAUAGAAUGUAGUAUGUAUGAUAAUGUAGUAUGUGAUGAUGAACUAUGGAUGAUAAUGUAGUAUGUGAUGAACUAGUGUGGUUGCAAUUUCUCUCGCGAAAGUAUUUUUCAAAUUAUGCAGUUUCAUAUAUGGGUUCUAUUCUGCCACGCACGAUUUUGACCCGCAAAACAGUUCUUCAUCGAACUAUAAACGCCUUAUGCGGGUCACGGUUUUAUGGUGUCUGCUAGAGUUGCUCUUAGUGCAAGAGGCCGCAGAGGAGGAGGCCAAAAGGAACAAAGCUAACGACAGCAUCAGUGUAGUAGGAUGCGAGCGGGAGUUAGAGAGGAACGACGCCGGCGGUGGCUUCAGUGUAGCAGAACAUGGAAUAGAAGACAUAGAGGAUAAACGACCGCUCGAGUGUAGUAGGACGCGGGAGAGGAGGUUGAGAGGAAACGACCCCGGAGGUGGCGCUAGCGCAACAUCACACGACAGAGGAGGCCGAGAGGAACAACGCUAACAGUGGCGUCAGUGUAGCAGGACACAGGACUGGAGACCGAGAUUAAGGUCUGUUAUUAGCACACAUCACACAUAUGAAUAUGUAUGUUUUAACGAGGAAGAAUUUACAUCUAGUCUACGAUCGUCGAAACAGAAAAUGUGCAAUACGAAAGUCAUGCGAAAUUGCAAGAUGAAGAAACUGGUCAAAGGAAAUUUCAAACGAUCAACCAUGCACGACAAAUUUAACAAAAUGUGUCCAAAAUAGCUUCAAACAUGAACACGAAAUUGAGCAUUUACGGUUGAAGAAACUACGAACCGGUGACUUGAAUGAAACCAUAACAUUGAUGGUGCAUCUUUUUCAUGUAGAGGUUAUCUCGAAUCGAAGCAUUGUUGUGUAGAUUAGAAGGGACGACAAAGAAAGAAGAUUAGAGACGAGCUUAAUGAAGGUAGAAGAACAUAGCAGGUAUAAAGCUCGCAUCCCUCAAGUCUCCUCAGGUGCAACAAGGUCCACCAUGUGCGUUCGAUGUGCCUCACCUCAAUCUGGCUUGCUGAAAACUGUCGAUUUGAUCAUUCCUAGCGGGCCUGGCUGGGUGGUGCUUUAAAGUCUGUGCUUUACGGGCCAAACAAUGAAUGUAUAUAAACAAAUAUGCCAUUUUCUUCCCACACGGACCUGAUUGGCCUAUAUACAGGGUACCAAACACGCUCUAGCGAUGCCUCUAGGAUUGGAGUUCUAAGUUUCGUAUCAAUGCCAGGUAGCCAACGACCAACCAUGUUUUGACAUUAUGUGACAGGUGCAAAUUAGAAGCUACCAGUAGAAAUGAUUUGGUUUUUAGUGGGAAAACUCUUCUCCUUUGCAGUUUUUUUUCUGUAUACACUCAUUUUGUAUGUGAUCUAUGCUGCAUCAAAUAAAAUACCAACCGAUUUUCAAGACGGCGCGUAUAUAGUUGGAGGGGGUGCCAGGGAGGUUUUUACCCAACGUAGAUGGCAAUAUAAUCUCUGGAUCGGCCCACCACCUCCUUCCACAUAGACAUAGUGUCAGUACUAUAUAACUCUACUGUUGCAGAUACAUUAAUGUCUUUUACUAUAUGUUUGUUCGACUGUUGUGUUUGGCUGCAUGCAUUUUAAUUAUGUAAAGGUCGGGUGUCGUUCAUCAUGCUUUAUAUCCGCUUUAUACUACAUUUGACUUAAUAAAAACACCCACCUCGCAAAAAAAGACUUAAUAAAAACACCCUUUAUUAAAAAAAGGAUGAUUGACCAUGUAGCCCGAGCAAAUUUGUAAUCAAAGUAAAUGUGCUUCAUAUAUAGUUCCGUCUAUUUGACAUAAAAAACAUUGUCUACUUCAAUACAAAUUACAUAUGCUUCACAAGCUUGUUUUUUGUUGUUAUUGAAAUCACCCUUCCGCGAAGAUACCAAUUACUUUCGAAGGGAUAUUUAAUUUUUAUGUUCGUUAAUUGGUACUACCUCCGCCCUGGUUUAUUGGUCCCUUUUGUAAUUUGUGCCAAAUUUUGACAAAAAAAUUAACUAAUAAAAUGUUAAUGCAUGUCAACAAAAAAUAUAUCGUUUGGUUCGUAUUUGAACAUAGUUUUCAAUGAUAUAUUUUUUGGUGGCAUGCAUAAAUAUUUUAUGAGUUAAAUUUAUAGUCAAAAUUUGGCACAGAAUACAAUGGAGACCAAUAAACCAGGACAGAGGUAGUAAUUGGCAUAUCACAAUGAACACUAGGGAGGAUAGAGAUCAUCUGUUCUUCAAGUGCAACUUCAGUACUAGAGUUUGGAACUACAUGCAGAUCUCUUGAACUGAUAACUCUGAUAAGUGUGAGAUUGCUUGCAAGGCCAGGAAAUAAUUUGACAAACCUUUUUUUUUUUGCUGAGGUUGUCUUCACAGCUUGGUGGAAUAUAUGCAUAAUCUGGAACGGAAAAAUAUUAUUGAAUGAAAAGCCCCGUUUUGCUAGGUGGACAGUGGGAUUCACUUGGGAUAUUUAUUUGAUUACACAUAGGAUCAAGGCUACAUAUAAGGAUGCUCUAUUGAGAUGGAUUUCCUAUUUGCCCCCUUUGGUUGUAUUUUCUAUUUUUGGUUCUCAUGUUCCCUCUGUAAGUAAGAUUUUGUUUUCUCUUUCGGCCGAGGCCUUGUAAUCACCUUUGUAUAUCUUUAUAUCUAUGUUUCAAUAAAGAUGAAGCUGUGGUGCUUUGCCCUGCAGGUACAAGUUUCCGAAACAUUGCACUGUGCGUCAAAUUAAUCCAAAAACAUUCUUUUUUACCAAGGUUCCAUUGAAACUCGUCUUUGACUCUUGUAACAACUGCACAACCUCAAACCAAGUUAGAAGUGUUUUCCAUGUCUCAUCUUGGCCCAAGCAAGGUCGUCCUAAACGUCCCGUUGUGGGUGAGGCACUGAAGAAUUGCUCAAAGGUAUCUUGUUUGUUAUAGACAAUACCAAAUAGGAUAUCGGUCACUGAGAGGAACAUUUGUCUAGCCACUAAUCCUUCAAAAUUCUAAUUUGUGAGAUGUCUUUAAUGAUGAAGCUUCCAAAGUGGUAGAAAAAAACUCUCCAUUUUCAUUGGGCUCGCCCUAAAAUGAGAGUCUUCCAUUUAACCCAAGAGAUGGUUUUAGAACGAGCGUAGUUGUUUCACAAGAGGUCUUACCAUACACCUUCCUCGCGAAGACAAAGCUUAAGCAAUAAUUUAAGGAGAAAUGCAAUGUUCUUGGCCUCAACAUCCCAUUUUUUUUCAACCCGCACCUUCUCCUUUCUCCACUUCUCUGCGAAAAAAAAACUGGACUGAAAAUAGUCCAAUAUUUGCAUAAUCCGUAGUGGAAUUUAGUAGAAAAACAACAUGUACAAGACCAUCCUGAUAAGCACAGAGUUAAUACGGACCAACCAUCCACAAAGGACAAAAACUUUCCUUUAAUUCCAACUAAGAAUGUGUUUCUCCCUUCUCUCUACCAUGAUUACUGCAUUCUCGAGCUUCAGAUAAUGAAUUGGAAUCCCCAAAUAGUGAAUGGGGAAUUGGACAUGCUCGUAAAAAAAUUGGUAUAUCGAACUUCAGCUUCCCGGCCAACCUCUAAACAAGCCAACUAGCUCUUAUGGAGGCUAAUUUUAAGGCCCAAAAGUUGCUCAAAUACAGAAACCACUAACUCGAUGUUUUAAGCCUUUUGAAGGUCAUGUUCCAUGUAUAGGAUUGUGUCAUUAGUGUAUUAUAGGAUGGGCAAGUGUACACUAGAUGUGGCACUACCCCACGGAUUUGACCAAUUUCCUUGGCAAGCUCAAUGAGAAUCGUCAAUAUAUCUGCAACAAUAUGAAAUAACAUAAGAGAUAAGCAAUCCCAAUGUCCCAUACCAUUUUCUGUAUCAAAAUAGUGGGGAGUGUCGUCAAGGAACUUAAUGGUACACUAAAAUGAUCAAUUAAGCACGCCAUUUAUUGGAGAAGCAUUACAUCAUGAGUCCCUAUUGAAGAAAAGACCACUUGACUUGUUAUAUGUUGAGUGAAAUUCACCACUAAUCCAUUAACUUAAUAUGAUUGCACACUUUAGACCAACAACUCGGGAAGUGAUCAGUUAAGGCCCUACACUCAUUGAUUUGAUCAAAUAAUCUAAAACUCAAUUUGAUAGAGAAAAAUCUGGCCACAUGGCUGUCAUGUGAGCAUUCCUUUGACCGCUCGGGAACUAAUUCUUUUAUACUAGUCGUCAACCCGUGCGUGCGCACGGGCUAGUAGUUUGGAAAAUAGCUUAGUAGUUUUUUUUGUAAAUAUUGUUAGAAACAAAAGAGGAACUAAUUAUGAAUUAUAAAUUUACACUUGAAAAAUGACACUUUGUUCUUUAAUCAUAUAUUUUAUAUUUAAGUAUAUUUUAUAUGUCAUAUAAGAACACUAUAGUUUGAUUUCUUUGCUCUAAAAAAUGUUAAUUUAUUCUUCAGCAUGUGCAAAUAUCUCCCAAAAACAAUUUUUUCCGAAGAAUUGUUAGGGUUGGAAGAAGCUCAUACAUUUAUUAAGUCUCCCAAGUGUAUUAAUUAUAUAAAUUUACUGUCAGUAAUGUUUUUGAAAUGAAACUACAUUUGUGCGAACAAAAAAUAUUCUUAAGUUUAGAACAAAAACAAACAAACAAAAUUGUUCGAUACUUUCCUAUAUAUAGUGCAUAAUUAUUGAAAUAUGUACAGAGAAGCAUGAUGUGUAUAAUCAUGACAUCCCUCCAAAAAAAUAACUAAACAUGAGCCCAUGAGUUUCUGUCAUGUUUGUUUGUCGAGAAACACAUGAUUUCUUCCUACGUACACAUUCUUAAUUAUCCAAGUCGAAUUUGUUGGACGAUUUUAAACUCUAAACAUCACAAACAUAAUGAAUUUAUUUUCGUCCAAAUACACCUCUAGUAUCAUCUCUUCUAUUUUCCUAAAGGAAAACUCAAUUCCUUGAAUCCCCAGGUAUCAGCCACUUAUUUUUCUAAUCUCAUAAACCAAGUCGGGGUGCUAUGAAAUAUUCAAAUGGUUAUACAUAUCAGAUGCAUCGUGGUGGAUAACUUGGGCCAUGUGAUGCACACUACCUUAGGAAAUGUAAAAACAAAAUGGACUAUAUUUGUUUACAAAUUAUUGAAAAACUUGAGCAAGAAAGAGAAAUAGAGUGGCCAAGAUUAAUAUAUUAUUUUUUGGAAAGACUUAUAUAGUUCUACCAGAAACCUAAUAAUAAUUUGUGAAACAAUUUUCGCUGUUUUCAACAUGCAGCAAUAUUACUUGUUGUUUUCAAUGAGAAGGAGAAACAGUUUUGCAUAGUUAAAUGUCACCUGGCUUUGUAACCCCAAAGGAAUAAGAAUCUACAAAUUAUGAGUAGAAGCAUACAUCCCUACUUAACAAAAGGACACACCAGGUUCAUCAAACAUGGAUGAAAAAACUGAGUGUUGUUAUUGGACAUCAGAAGUCCAUAUCCUAAAAAAUAUGACCAUGCCGAAGGUAAAAUUAGUAUCAUCUAAGCUAGACUAAUUUUAUUUGUCCAGGCUAAUGAUAAUACAUUUUUCAACUACUAAUUUUAUUUGUCCAGGCUACAGCACAACUAACGUCUGCAUUGCAGUAGUAUUUGGGAAACAAAAAAUCAUAUUAUAAUUUGGGACACUGCAGAACGUUCUGAACUAUCGGCAUGCGCGUAUACUGGAUCGUGUAGAAAGGAGAAAUAACCGGCACUUUUGGCGAUGUGGGCACACCGCCAUACUGCAACACAACGCCUUUAAAGUUUUCCCCUGGGAACAUCCAAUUAAUAUUUACAUAUAUGAACUUGUAAGCCCAUUGAUCAUGUUGCACACACCUGUUGUGACCUUCACUCACCUGCCAGUACCCCGACCGGUCGACACCUCUUCCUGCAAGUAGCCACCAGUUCAAUGAUAUAGAAGAUAAAGAAACGAAAUUUACAUCAACUUCGAUAGUCAAAAAAACUCUUUCAUAACACUUCACUUCACAUUACGUUAGUGCUAGACUCAUCUUCAUGACUUGAGCAGUUGCCUAAUUCACUACAAACAAAACAAACCAGCUGGCUGGCAAUAACAUGUGGUGGAAGUGCAGCAACAUUAAAUCUAAACAAACUGCAUUAGUCGAUUCAAACCAUACCAGGGAGCUCAACUGAGAUCAUCAAGAGUUUGUGUGAUCUCUGAUUGAGGCAUGAUCUAGAUGACACGGGGUGGUAAUUAUACUGAAAAUCUGAUUAUCUAUGUAUGCAUCUUUUUAUUCCAUCUAUUCAUCGUCAAGUAUCUAACUAUGCAUACAUCAAUCCUUCCUAUCCAUCAAUUCCAUAUACGUAUCAGCAAGUAGCAUCAAGGUAAUGCAUGGGACAAUGAGAAAAUAUCGGACCUGAGAUUAAAGGGGCUGGAGCAUGACCACCAUAGAUUCCACUUCAUACGCAUCUGCAGAUUAAACUGGCUGGAGCAGGACCAACUUCCCAUAGAAGAUGGUUCUUGGUACUUGGUAUUCAAUGUGUUGGCCGUAAUGGAACUUCGAAUUGUUAUAUAUUUACCUUUGUUUACAAAGCGGUUUUAUUUACAAAGAUGAUGGCGUACACUAUAUUAUCCUUCCACCUGAAUUGCUAGCAUAGAAACAACAGAAGCCUGAAAAGGAAUAUAUUGCAAGUUACAACAACAGUAUUCGUAAAUCAACAUUGACAUAAACCACUCAAUUGAAGAAGAAAUACAGAAAGCGGUAACUCGCAAAUCAGUCGAGUACAAAGAACUGAUGCGCAUUUUUCAAUCAUAUAAAUGUGUAGAAAGGCCUAGGUAGGAAUACGGGAAGGUGUGUAUAUGCAUUAUGUACUUCCUCUAAACACAGCUAUUUUCUAUCAUCCAGGUCACGCCCGAUGGCAAACAUUGCCGCAGUCCAUACAUGUCAUGGGUUUGGCCUAAUUGGGUUUGGAGGAUGCUACAACAUAGAGAUGCAUUCUUGCCACGGUCCCCAUGGUAUGGUGUUGAAUUUGGGAAGCACAUGAAGAGGAGGAAGUGGUGUUGAAUCUACACAUGUGGCCUCAAGUGUUCGUUUCCCAGAUCUUAAUCCACUACUGUUUGCAUUGCUAAUUCACCGUAUUCCAAAAGCUUAGGACACGUUUGGUUGCUACUCAGGUAACGUCUUCAGUUAAGGUACCGGGAAGCUCCGGUUCCCUUUUCUUCUUUAGGAAUACGUGAUGUGCUUGGUUUGGCCGCCCCACUCCCGCUUUUGUAAUCAGCCGCGAUUUGGGUGUUUCCGAGUUUGUGAACCUCCGGAUCGGAAGACACUGCUACGGAAUACGUUGUUGGCGUACCAAAUGCUGGAUGCCGUUUCAGAAAGCGCGGUAGUCGGAAACCGUGACAAUUCUUCCGAAACAAACGCGUCGUUAAUUACUUAGGAAACCAAUCCACAUCCGAUCUGGUCACCUCAAUCCAUUGGAAGCUGCCUCAGGUCAACUUUGUCCCCUUCCUACUGCCGUGCGGAAUUUGCAAAGUACAACACAUUGCUACAAAACAUGAGAAAGCAUAGCAGGGAAGACAGAAGAAGGUCCGACAUUGUUAGGGCAAUCAUCGCCAUGGUCCAGCUCGGCGUUUCUGCCAACUGGACUGACCCGUACAAUCUUUUCACCACCAAAAUAAAGAUCGCAAGUACCUAAUUGUACUACAGCACUCUCUCGAGCGCUCGCAGAAAAACAGAUCACCAUGUACCUGAUUGUACUACUGCGGCAUGUGGAGGCCCUGAGAAAGGAGGCCGACCGAGGAGGCCCGUGCGUGUGGACGAUGGUAGCACCCCUGCAGGAGGGAACAGAUGAAGAUCUCGUCCUGCUCGACAACGCUCAGAUGAUGCCGCUAUGAUGAAGGGAAGGCAUAUGCGUGAGAGAUUGAGCCACAAAGAAAAACAGAAUAUAUUUUGGGGUUUUCCUCUCGCUUUAAAAAAGAGGCAUGAGAGAUUGAACAGGAAGGAAAAAAAAACAAAAACAUGAGAGAUUAGCGGAGCCAUUUAAGAGAGAGAGUUGACGGAUCCUUUUUUUUUUGGGCAGUUGAUUAUUCUGUACGUGCACGCGUGUUUUUUCUUUUGGAGUUUUGCUCUAGCUUUCAAAAGAGGCAUGAGAGAUUGAGUUAGAAAAAAAUAGCAAAAACAGAUGUACACCUUUUUAAUUCGGUCGCACGAGAUAAACGAAAAAAUAGCAAGAAUAGCUUUCAAAAGAGGCAUGAGAGAUUGAGCCAAAAAGAAAAAAAAAGCAAGAACAGAUCUACACCUUUAUAAUUCGGUCCCACCAAAUAAACAAAAAAAGAAAAAAAUAGUAAGAACAGAUCUACACCGUUAUAAUUAGGUCCCACCAAAUAAACGGCUCUUAAUUUCUAAUUAAUGUAGGAAUUUCUAGGAAGUGACAAAUUAUUAUAGGUAUAGAUAGAUAGAUAGAUAGAUAGAUAGGGAUCUAUUUGUAAAUUGGUUAGUUUUUACUCACAAACCAUGCUGAGGAUGUAUGGAGGACAAAUAUAUUAAAAACCUUAAGUUGCAUGGGAUUGAAAGCCACAUCCUUAGAGGUGGCAAACAUCUCGCUAACCGCAUGAACAUCAACUAGUUUGUGUACCAAGAUGCAACCCACUCUAUAUAUUAAAAUUCAAAAAACUAAGCAGCAAAAAUCAUAUGAGAUUAGAAUAAAAAAAUAUUGCUACGAACACUGUUCUACUAUAUUGCAAAACAAUAUAGACAAUGGAGAAUUUUGAAGAAAAGAACAGAAAAAUCGCAUAUCUCAUGCUAUCACAUCAUAGUAUUUUAAGAGCCAUGCAUAAUAGUAUAUGAAGAAUCCCAUAACCGCCUCCUGGGUCGCUCGCCUCCCGGGUCGCUCGCUAGGGCGACUCUAGAGGCCACCAUAAUCCAGUAGCACAACUCAUCUCUCGUGCUCCUCGUGCCGCCUUCGAUGGCGGCGGUGGCGGCGCCCGGCCGUGGAAGGCAGAGGUCUUGCUGCGGGUUUCUCAUGCCGGAGGAGGUGCGGUCGUUCGAGCACCCUGUUUCUUAUGGUGGCACGCAGGUGGUGGGCCGCCGAUCAAGUUGUCAGCAUUGCGCGAGCGGAGAUCUUUAGUGAUCAGGUGGGAUGUGGCUCGUGCAUAGGGGUUCCUUCUCGCACUGGCCAAGUGUUGUUCCUCCGGCAGCCAUCGGACAUGGAGUCGGUCAUGCUGCGCGAAUGGAUGCAUUUCGAUGCCUUUGGGCAGUUUUGCUCGGCUCCUCAGUUGGGCUGCAUCUUGAUGGCUGCUUGGCGUGAGGGUUCUAGUUUGACGAGUGAAUGGGCCAUGGAUGGUGUCUUUGGUGAGGUUUGUGGCACUCCGGCUAAAAACCGUACCUGACCUUUGUUGAUGCUGUUUACCACGUCGCCUUCGGGUGUCGCUAUUCAUCCCCUCACCGAGGAUCUCUAACACCUAUUUCAAUCUUGUGAUCUCGUCUCCCGGUGAAAACCGUAAUCCAGAUUCCCAAAUCGGCGAUGUCGAUAUCCUUUAUGAGGAAGUCAUUACUAGAAUGCAUCGUGUCAGAGACUUGACUUGUUGGAGAACCUCAUGGGGAGUCGUUGGUGGAGGGCCUGCGGUGGCGCGGUUGGUGUGGCUUUCCUGUCUCUCCGGUGCACUGCUUUGGGUGGCUGAGGUAUGGAGGUGAUGCUUGGCGAUGGGUAGCAAUGAUUCUUCCUGGCAGAGUGGCGAUGCCAAGAUGGUGCACGGCAACCGUGUCAGUGAUGCGUUGGUGGUGCCAUGGAGCCAGAUCCUUGACGAAGUUACUGGUUGCAGAUCCCGGUCCUAGCAAUGCAAUGAGGGCUCAUGGUGUAUUAUCUGGCGGCAGGUAGCCAUGCUCAGAUUUACCACUGAUUUGCACUUGCGACGGGGACGCGUGAUCGCCAAAGCGUCCCUUAUGGAGGAUUUUGGUGGCAUUGUUGUCUCUAGUCUGUGGAUAUAUGACAUGCGCCACAUGGGUGUCAAUGCAUGCACCUGGCAAUAAAGGCCGAUUGUGGCGGCUAGAUCGCUUCAUUGGUGUCUGCACAAUUUUGAGCUUGCUUGCUGAUGGCUCUAUAUUUUACACAUUUCUAGAGCUCAUUUGUCGCAUGUUCUCGGCAUACAUCAAGGCAUGUUGAACCAAAUAAAUGUCCAACACAUGAUUACUGAUUUUUACUCUUUUCAUUAUGACAAUUGCCUAUUAUUAUUAUUAUUAUUAUUAUUAUUAUUAUUAUUAUUAUUAUUUGGUUUUUAUUAGAUUCCUUUAUUUUGUUGUGUCUACAGGUGUUUUGGAGCAACCUAGGACCAAACACGAUGAAUAGGCCAAGGUUGAGUUCCUUACAGAGGACUUCCAGCACUCCAACUAGAUUAAGAACUUUGAAAACGUUGUUCGGAUGAGUAAGUUAUCACUAUUUUCCCAGAAGAGGUCAUAACAAAAGACGGCCUCUAGUACAACAAAAAAUGGUCCUACUGGUGGUCGUACCAGGUGCAGAUAGGCCCGAAAGUUGCCUCUCUGGAUGAGAUUCUUCAUCAAUUUCGUCUCCUUUGUUACCUCGUGUUCCUUGGCUAAUAAGGAAGAGUUUGAGAGAGGAUUUGACUCAAGUUGAGCCCUUAAAUGAAGGUGGAGGGUCCACAUCUAUGCAGGAGACCCAAGCAGGCCUUCUAUAUAUUGAAAUGGCAAUAUCAGAGUCUUCGUCGUGUGUACAAGGAAUUAACAUGGUCGUAACGAAACAACAAAUUAAUGAAAGAAAAAGAUUUGGGAGAGAAAGGAGCUAUGGCAAUCUUACAGCAAUUUACAGGGGAAAAAGAUGAUCACGAAUCAAAACAACCUUGUACUUCUUUGGUGGCUUAAUGGUUAACCACGUUGCACUUCUUCCUGAUCUCGCCCUGGCUUCCGGUGAGCGGGUUGGCGUUGCCCAUCUUGAUCAUGGAGGCGGCAAAGUCGGCGAAGAACUCGUCCAUGAAGGCGCCGGUGGCAUGGCGCUGGACGUAGGCGCGGGUGAAGGGGUCGGUGAGGAGGGCGCCGUCAGAGUGGAAGAGGCCCCUCCGCUUGUUCACCAGCUUGAAGUAGUCGGUGUCGAAGGUCUUGAAGCUGCCGGGGUCCAUCUCCACGAGGGUGGUGUUGUCGUUGAGGCUGGCACACUUGCUCUUUAGCCGCAUCAUGUACUGCGGCUCCAGCGAGGGGUCGAUAUCGCUGGGGUUCUCCAAGCCGGUGAAGUUGUAGAGCCGGUCGGAGAAGGAGAAGCAGUGCGACGUCCCGAUGGUGUGCCCGGCGGACAAGACGACAAGGUCCUUUGCGUCGAGGUUCACGGCGGCGAAGAGCUGGGUGAGCACGGUGAAGUUGGAGGUCGGGGGUGGCAGAGCGUCGGUCUCGUUGGAAAUGGACACGCUGCCGUCUCGCCGGCCCAGAGGAACUGUCCAGAAUGGACCCUUGCUC
rnacentral:lncRNA from 1 species